rnacentral:tRNA from 1 species
GGGCCAGUGGUCUAGUGGCUAUGACAUCACCCUUACAAGGUGGAGGUCACAGGUUCAAAUCCUGUCUGGCCCACCA